GUCGAGGUUUGCUGCAGGUGUCUGUUUGAUGGUUCCACUUCCGUGUUCCUGUAAAGGCAGAGAUCUCCAUGGGAGUCGUCGCUGGUUAUGCACUGCUCAGCACGGGUGGUUGCUGGCUGUUGGAUGCUCCGGUGCUGUGUUGGCUGGGACCGAUGGAGUGUUCCAGGUUCUUGGUGGUGAGGAGUGAGCCCUGCAGACGCCUCUGCUGUUUUGCCUGGAGUUGAGACCAUUGCUCCGCCCUGAUGUCUGCUGCUACCUGUCUGGAUUUGUCGUUCAGCUUGGAGAUUAGGCUGAUGCCUGCUCAUGGAGUUGGUGGUGUGAUGGUUCCCUCUGGUGUUCAGAGAGGCCACCUGCAGAUGGGGACUACUGACUUAUCUUGAAUGUUUUAUCAAUUGUUUGUGUUUUUAUAAUCAGUUUCACUAAGUUUUGUAAGUGAACCUCCUACUCUGCCGAGUUUGCAGAAAACCUGUGUGCCUAACGUUGGAGUUAUUCUUCCUUCCAGUCCACAGCAUCACUGGCUCCAAGGCACAAAGUACUGAAAACUGAUUCAAAUAAAAUAUGCAGUCUUUAGUCUAAUAACAGCUCAUACAACCCCUGGCAAAAAUUAUGGAAUCACCGGCCUCAGAUGAUGUUCAUUCAGUUGUUUAAUUUUGUAGAAAAAAAGCAGAUCACA